GAAGGAGUUGAUUCCCUGAAGUCCUUGCUUCCCCUCGAUGUACAGCAGUAACAGCAGCGGGUGGGAGCUGUGUUAAGCUCAGCCCCCGCUGCCGAUCUGGCGCAGCACCCACGGCAGUUUGGCUCCUACCCCACUUUCCUUCCGUGCGGCUGGUUUUCAAGUGGCUGCAUUGUGAACUGUCUGCUGCCCGGCACCCCAGUUGACAUGGAGCCCUGUGCAGCCAUCCAGAUAAGAUCCCUGGCCUUGGUUGUUACCACCCCUACCUAGUGGCACCCGGGACAGUUUAGAGUCAGGUCUAAAUGACUCCGUUAUAUUAAGGAGACAACAACAAAAAAUCAUCUUAUAAUGAUAAUCCCUAAUACUUCUGUUACCUUUUGUGUAACUUUACCCCACUCCCUCUAGCAUGUAAGCUCAUUGAGCAG